AUUGAACGCUGGCGGCAGGCCUAACACAUGCAAGUCGAGCGGAUGAAGGGAGCUUGCUCCUGGAUUCAGCGGCGGACGGGUGAGUAAUGCCUAGGAAUCUGCCUGGUAGCGGGGGAUAACGUCCGGAAACGGGCGCUAAUACCGCAUACGUCCUGAGGGAGAAAGUGGGGGAUCUUCGGACCUCACGCUCUCAGAUGAGCCUAGGUCGGAUUAGCUAGUUGGUGGGGUAAAGGCCUACCAAGGCGACGAUCCGUAACUGGUCUGAGAGGAUGAUCAGUCACACUGGAACUGAGACACGGUCCAGACUCCUACGGGAGGCAGCAGUGGGGAAUAUUGGACAAAGGGCGAAAGCCUGAUCCAGCCAUGCCGCGUGUGUGAAGAAGGUCUUCGGAUUGUAAAGCACUUUAAGUUGGGAGGAAGGGCAGUAAGUUAAUACCUUGCUGUUUUGACGUUACCAACAGAAUAAGCACCGGCUAACUUCGUG
rnacentral:rRNA from 1 species